GACGUAGGGCGCGAGCGUUGUCCGGAUUUAUUGGGCGUAAAGAGCUCGUAGGCGGCUUGUCGCGUCGACUGUGAAAUCCCGUGGCUCAACUGCGGGCUUGCAGCCGAUACGGGCAGGCUCGAGUCCGGAAGAGGAGUGUGGAAUUCCCUGGUGUAGCGGUGAAAUGCGCAGAUAUCAGGAAGAACACCCGUGGCGAAGGCGGCUCUCUGGGACGGUACUGACGCUGAGACGCGAAAGCGUGGGGAGCGAACAGG
rnacentral:rRNA from 1 species